rnacentral:rRNA from 1 species
CCUACGGGUGGCAGCAGUGGGGGAUAUUGCACAAUGGGGGAAACCCUGAUGCAGCGACGCCGCGUGGGUGAAGAAGCGCCUCGGCGCGUAAAGCCCUGUCAGCAGGGAAGAAAAUGACGGUACCUGAAGAAGAAGACCCGGCUAACUACGUGCCAGCAGCCGCCGUAAUCCGUAGGGGGCAAGCGUUAUUCGGAUUUACUGGGUGGAAAAGGGGGGCUGGCGGGAAUGCAAGGUAGGAGGGAAAGCCCGGGGCCCAACCCCGGGACUGCUCUUGGAACUGCGUGGCUAGAGUGCAGGAGGGGCAGGCGGAAUUCCUGGUGUAGCGGUGAAAUGCGUAGAUAUCAGGAGGAACGCCGGUGGCGAAGGCGGCCUACUGGACUGCAACUGACGUUGAGGCCCGAAAGCGUGGGGAGCGAACAGGAUUAGAUACCCCAGUAGUC